rnacentral:lncRNA from 1 species
UUUAGACGUAAAUCUGCGUUUAGACGUAAAUCUGCGUUUAGACGUAAAACUACGUUUAGACGUAAAUCUGCGUUUAGACGUAAAACUGCGUUUAGACGUAAAACUGCGUUUAGACGUAAAACUGCGUUUAGACGUAAAUCUGCGUUUAGACGUAAAUCUGCGUUUAGACGUAAAUCUGCGUUUAGACGUAAAUCUGAGUUUAGACGCAAAACUGCACUUAGACGCAAAACUGCGCUUAGAUGCAAAACUGCGCUUAGAUGCAAAACUGCGCUUAGACGCAAAACUGCGCUUAAACGCAAUCUGCGCUUAGACGCAAACUGCACUUAGAUACAAACUGAGAAUUUGCUUUUGCAUCAUAAUAGUUUUUGAACGAACGCAGCUUUUGGUUCUUAAUCGCUGUAAGAUUUCCGCUGCACUAAUUCACCCCCCCCCCUCUUAGUGCUCUCGAUCCUA